rnacentral:tRNA from 1 species
GCCGGAGUGGUGAAACUGGUAUACACGCACGACUCAAAAUCGUGUGCGCUAAGCGCGUGAGGGUUCGAGUCCCUCCUCCGGCA